UGGGGAAUAUUGGACAAUGGGGGCAACCCUGAUCCAGCAACGCCGCGUGAAUGAAGAAGGCCUUCGGGUUGUAAAGUUCUUUUGUCUGGGAGCAAAAGUUGCGUAUGAAUAGUAUGUAAUGAUGAGAGUACCAGAAGAAUAAGCACCGGCUAACUACGUGCCAGCAGCCGCGGUAAUACGUAGGGUGCGAGCGUUAAUCGGAAUUACUGGGCGUAAGGCGUGCGCAGGCGGUUUUGUAAGCCAGAUGUGAAAUCCCCGGGCUUAACCUGGGAAUGGCAUUUGGGACUGCAAGGCUAGAGUAUGGCAGAGGAGACUAGAAUUCCUGGUGUAGCAGUGAAAUGCGUAGAUAUCAGGAGGAACACCGAUGGCGAAGGCAAUCCCCUGGGCCUGUACUGACGCUCAUGCACGAAAGCGUGGGGAGCAAACAGG
rnacentral:rRNA from 1 species